rnacentral:rRNA from 1 species
GGCGACUGAAAUGGGAAAAGCCCAGCGCAUAAGCUCGCUUUGCCCUUCACCGGGCGCGAGCGGUGUUGCGUUUCGGAGGGUCCGGCACGCCGCCUUACGACGCCUAAGUCAUGCUUGAAAGCGGCCACUACCCAUUGAGGGUGAAAGGCCCGUCUGGCGGAGCCCGUGAGGGCAUAAGUGAGGCGGUCGGAAAGGACCUUUCCGUAGAGUCGG